UCAACCGUGGAGUACUUUGUCAAAUGUAAUUAUAAUUUGUAACCUCAAACUCUUUUUAUUAAGUUGAUGGAAAAUAGUUUUAUCAGUGCAAUUUAAAGGUACAUGUUUUCUGUGCAUCCUUGUGUAUUUUUAUUUUACAGGCUGCAGUUUUGUUCUUUCGACAGGUAAAUCUCAUGUUCCAUGCUUUGUUAAGCAAGCCUUUUCCUGUUGGAUUA